AUGCUCAUUUCAUGAGCACAUACACUAAAGUUGGAAUAAUAGAUGAUCAGCAUGGCCCCUGCACAAAGAUGGCAUGCAAGUUAGUGAAUCUUUGCAUAUUUUC
rnacentral:snRNA from 1 species